rnacentral:rRNA from 1 species
AGAGUUGAUCCUGGCUAGGACGAACGCUGGCGGCAUGCCUAACACAUGCAAGUCGAACGGACGAGGGUAGCAAUACCCGAGUUAGUGGCGAACGGGUGAGUAACACGUGAGCAACCUGCCCUUUACACUGGGAUAGCAGUUGGAAACGACUGAUAAUACCGGAUAAGACCACGCUCCCGCAUGGGAGAGGGGUCAAAGUGAUUUAGCGGUAAAGGAUGGGCUCGCGUCCAAUUAGCUAGUUGGUGAGGUAACGGCCCACCAAGGCGACGAUUGGUAGCCGACUUGAGAGAGUGAUCGGCCACACUGGAACUGAGACACGGUCCAGACUCCUACGGGAGGCAGCAGUGGGGAAUAUUGGGCAAUGGAGGAAACUCUUACCCAAGCAAUGCCGCGUGAGGGAUGGAGGUCCUAUGGAUUGUAAACCUCUUUGAUUAGGGACAAAGAGAGUGAUGGUACCUAAAGAACAAGCCCCGGCUAACUAUGUGCCAGCCGCCGC